CACGUAGGGCGCAAGCGUUGUCCGGAAUUAUUGGGCGUAAAGAGCUCGUAGGCGGUCUGUUGCGUCCGCUGUGAAAACUCGGGGCUUAACCCCGAGCCUGCAGUGGAUACGGGCAGACUAGAGGUAGGUAGGGGAGAAUGGAAUUCCCGGUGUAGCGGUGAAAUGCGCAGAUAUCGGGAGGAACACCGGUGGCGAAGGCGGCAUUCUGGACCACAACUGACACUGAGAGACGAAAGCCAGGGGAGCAAACGGG
rnacentral:rRNA from 1 species